AACGAACGCUGGCGGCAUGCCUAACACAUGCAAGUCGAACGAGACCUUCGGGUCUAGGGGCGCACGGGUGCGUAACGCGUGGGAACCUGCCCUUAGGUUCGGAAUAACUCCCCGACAGGGGUGCUAAUACCGGAUAAUGUCUUCGGACCAAAGAUUUAUCGCCUUUGGAUGGGCCCGCGUUGGAUUAGCUAGUUGGUAGGGUAAAAGCCUACCAAGGCGACGAUCCAUAGCUGGUCUGAGAGGAUGAUCAGCCACACUGGGACUGAGACACGGCCCAGACUCCUACGGGAGGCAGCAGUGGGGAAUAUUGGACAAUGGGCGAAAGCCUGAUCCAGCAAUGCCGCGUGAGUGAUGAAGGCCUUAGGGUUGUAAAGCUCUUUUACCCGGGAUGAUAAUGACAGUACCGGGAGAAUAAGCUCCGGCUAACUCCGUG
rnacentral:rRNA from 1 species